CCCUUAGAUGUUCUGGGCCGCACGCGUGCUACACUGAUGCAUUCAACGAGUCUAAAACCUGGUCUGAUAGGGCUGGGUAAUCUUUUGAAAGUGCAUCGUGAUUGGGAUAGAUGAUUGCAAUUCUUCAUCUUCAACGAGGAAUGCCUAGUAAACGCAAGUCAUCAGCUUGCAUUGAUUACGUCCCUGCCCUUUGUACACACCGCCCGUCGCUCCUACCGAUUGAAUGAUCCGAUGAAUACCAUGGAUUGAGAGUACGAAUAGGUUCGCUUAUUUCUGCUGCUCGAGAAGUGGAGUAAAUCUUAUCAUUUAGAGGAAGGAGAAGUCGGAACA
rnacentral:rRNA from 1 species